CACGUAGGGCGCAAGCGUUGUCCGGAAUUAUUGGGCGUAAAGAGCUCGUAGGCGGUCUGUUGCGUCCGCUGUGAAAACUCGGGGCUUAACCCCGAGCCUGCAGUGGAUACGGGCAGACUAGAGGUAGGUAGGGGAGAAUGGAAUUCCCGGUGUAGCGGUGAAAUGCGCAGAUAUCGGGAGGAACACCGGUGGCGAAGGCGGUUCUCUGGGCAUGUUCUGACGCUGAGGAGCGAAAGUGUGGGGAGCGAACAGG
rnacentral:rRNA from 1 species